UUGUCACAUUCUAAUUGAUUUUGUUGGGAUAGAAUUGAAAGGGAUUUCAUGCGUGUUAGAAGGUUGGUACAACACCGAUUGAGAUGAAGAAGGCAAAGAAAGUGGAAGGUGCAGGGGAUGAGGAUGUUGACAUUGGGGAUGCGAUGCCAUGAGUAUGUUUCCACCCGUUGAGAUUGAGAAAGAUAAAGAUGUUGGAGGAGGCCAUGUAAGUAGUAAUUCAAGUAGUGAUUCAUUACCAUCAAGUGGUAUUAACAUUGUUCUCUGUAUUGAGUUUUUG
rnacentral:lncRNA from 1 species